rnacentral:rRNA from 1 species
CCUACGGGAGGCAGCAGUGAGGAAUAUUGGUCAAUGGGCGCGAGCCUGAACCAGCCAAGUCGCGUGAGGGAUGACUGCCCUACGUGUUGUAAACUUCUUUUGUAAAGGAAUAAAGUGAGGCACGUGUGCCUUUUUGUAUGUACUUUAUGAAUAAGGAUCGGCUAACUCCGUGCCAGCAGCCGCGGUAAUACGGAGGAUCCGAGCGUUAUCCGGAUUUAUUGGGUUUAAAGGGAGCGUAGAUGGGUUGUUAAGUCAGUUGUGAAAGUUUGGGGCUCAACCGUAAAACUGCAAUUGAUACUGGCAGUCUGGAGUAGAGUUGAGGUAGGCGGAAUUCGUGGUGUAGCGGUGAAAUGCGUAGAUAUCACGAAGAACUCCGAUUGCGAAGGCAGCUUACUAGACUGCCACUGACAUUGAUGCUCGAAAGUGUGGGUAUCAAACAGGAUUAGAUACCCCUGUAGUC